GCUGGGCGUGGUGGCGUGCACCUGUAAUCCCAGCUACUCGGGAGGCUGAGGCAGGAGAAUUGCUUGAACCCAGGAGGCUGAGGCUGCAGUGAGCUGAGAUUGUGCCACUGCACUCCAGCCUGGGCGACAGAGUAAGACUCAGUCUCAA
ensembl:misc_RNA Metazoa_SRP Metazoan signal recognition particle RNA